UAUACUAUUCUUUCUUCUUCUUCUUCUUCUUCUCCUUCUCAUCUCCUUCGAAUGAUCAUUCUCAUACCAAACAGAAUAAAAAUCAGUCCUUCAGUCUCUUGGCUUUAAGUGGAUCGGAUCUACCACUUUCUUCUAACCUAAGAUCCCCAAUUUCAAAACCCUAACAUCUUCCGAUCUCCCUUCAGCACCACGGCCAGAUUUUGAGAGUCAAGAUCAAAUCACCAAUGGGUCCUAUAUUUCCAAGUUCACUUGGACAAUACCAACUCGUCUACUCCUCCUUGUACUCCCUAAACCAUCCAGCCCUUCGACGAAUAAUCUUUCACUUCGAUCUUUUUGAUUUCUUCUCUUCUUAAUUUCUACCAAUUUCCUCUAAUCCAAGAUCCCUAUUAUGCCAUUCGAAACCCUAAGCUCUCCUGAUCUCCUUCAGCAUCUAUGGCUACCGAAUUUAGAGAGUGGAGCAUUGAUAGAGAUCUGGAGAGAGAGAGAGAGAGAGAGAGUGAAUAAGGCCGCUUCGAUUCCACACGCAGGUGGCUAUUGUGUAUCGGAGCAGUGGUAGAUGUUGAUGGAGAAAAAGCCUUUGAGUAUGAGGGCGGCGAUGAUGAUGGUAAUCGAGGGGCUCAGCUAUAAUUUGAGGUUUUACUUGCAGCCGCCACUGAUUGCAAACACAUCUACUUCUUGCCUUCAUAUGGGACGUUCCUAUGGUAUUUGUUGCCCUCAACUUAUCAUCUCUUUAUGUACUGGGAUUUCUUCUUGUCUCUAUUUCAAUUGUUAAUUUUCUUUUUUAUUUUGUCCUAAUUCAUUGUGUUUGAACAUGUUAUAUCCCAAUAUUAACUAUAUUUAGAUUGGCAUUUAAGCUAACCUUUCCCCAAUUAUUUGUUAGUCUAUUCUCAAUGUCAACUUUUCUACUAAGUCUAACCAUGUGCUUGUGACUUUUCAUUUGUUUUUGCCUAUACAAGUUUUGACAGCAUGAUUAAGUUCCCCAAUUCUGCUAUGAUAAAGUAAGUUCUUCUUGAUCUUUUUGUUGCUAAAGUUAUGCCUUUUACUAAAAUGCAUCUGGAAUGCUGAUUGGUAGCUGGAAAAUUAUCAGAAUGGACUGCAUGAAUUAAAGAGCAUGAGCAGAUGAGAAUAUGUAUGUGACUUGCCAAUGUUGUUUGCUUGCUAGCUUUUCAGAUGUAGCUUGGUAAGUUUAGUGGGGUUAUUAUUCCUGUUUUCCUUUUGAAAAAAAGAAAAGAAAAAGGCAUUGCUUAAACAUCUACAUGAACUAUUGUCUUCGGUUUACUGAGUUUGGUGCUUUCCAUAUUUCUAUUUAGCUUUCUCUCUCAGUUUGUUAGGCUCUAACAUGAUUUAGAUUAAUCUUAUAUUACAUGUCAACUGGUUGGGAAUUAUCCAUUUGUUAGUUUGGCCAACUACUUGCUUCCUAUUUACUACUAUCUCCUCUGAUUUCUUUGAAUAAAGGUCCUUUGCAUUGUUUCACGGCUCAUGAAUGUUUUGCUGCCUUGUGAAUUCAUUAGUAUAUUUGAGGUCCCUUUGGACUUAUGUAUAAUGAUCUUUAUAUAUAUGGGGUAGCUUAUAAUAGAAUUCAUUCUGACACAUAUCAACGUAUAUUUUAUCAAGUGUUAUUGCAGCGGCGAUCUAUUGUGAACAAACAGAGUUGGCCAAAGCGUAAGAUGAUUCACACAACUGAAAAAUGAAAAUGGAGGUGUAAUCCCAGACCGUUGCAAAUUGUU